GUGCCAGCAGCCGCGGUAAUACAGAGGUCCCGAGCGUUGUUCGGAUUCACUGGGCGUAAAGGGUGCGUAGGUGGUAGGAUAAGUUUGGGGUGAAAGCUCCGGGCUCAACCCGGAAAUGGCCUCGAAGACUAUUCUGCUAGAGGAUCGGAGGGGAGACUGGAAUUCUCGGUGUAGCAGUGAAAUGCGUAGAUAUCGAGAGGAACACCAGUGGCGAAGGCGAGUCUCUUGACGAUUUCUGACACUGAGGCACGAAAGCCAGGGGAGCAAACGGGAUUAGAAACCCCCGUAGUCC
rnacentral:rRNA from 1 species